GGCACUACAAGUGACAUGCCACUGGGCAGUUUAGCAAAAGCUGGAGGUGCCUUGACAUUUGCAGUACACUGAAACAGUGGCUGGCUUGAAAAAUCCCAAAACGAUUUUCUGCAGGAGAGCCCUUUUGACUAAUAUGAGAGUCUCGCUCUGUCAUCCAGGCUGGAAUGCAGUGGCACGAUCUCGGCUCAUUGCAACCUCUGCUUCCCGGGUUCAAGUGAUUCUCAUGCCUCAGCCUCCUGAGUACCCGGAACUACAGGCACCUGCCACCACACCUGGCUAAUUUUUGUAUUUUUAGUAGACCUGGGGUUUUGCCUUAUUGGCCAGGCUGGUCUUGAACUCUUGACCUUGUGAUCCACCCAUCUUGGCCUCCCAAAGUGCUGGGAUUACAGGUGUGGGCCACCGUGACUGGCCAACAUUAUGUAUUUUAAAAGAUGUCUUCAAAUAGAAACACACAUAAAAUAAGGCCAUUUAUGAAUCAGUUGAAAAUAAAUAUAAAAUCUGGUUAUAUGAAAAUAUAACCAGAGCUCUCAGGGCCCUAACCCUGUGUUUCCCUUAGGAA
ensembl:lncRNA LINC01515 long intergenic non-protein coding RNA 1515